rnacentral:piRNA from 1 species
UGAAACCUCAUAAACCUAUCCCUGAUGAC